AUUGAACGCUGGCGGCAGGCCUAACACAUGCAAGUCGAACGAGUGGCGGACGUGUGACCAAUGUCUGGGACACUGCCCGAUGGAGGGGGAUAACAACUGGGAACUGUUACUAAAACCGCACACCAGCGGAUGGGUCCAAAUGGGAUUAGUUAGUAGGGGGGGUAACGGCCCACCUAGGCGACGAUCCCUAGCUGGUCUGAGAGGAUGACCAGCCACACUGGAACUGAGACACGGUCCAGACUCCUACGGGAGGCAGCAGUGGGGAAUAUUGCACAAUGGGCGAAAGCCUGAUGCAGCCAUGCCGCGUGUAUGAAGAAGGCCUUCGGGUUGUAAAGUACUUUCAGCGGGGAGGCGUUACUCGCAGAAGAAGCACCGGCUAACUCCGUGCCAGCAGCCGCGGUAAUAC
rnacentral:rRNA from 1 species